rnacentral:lncRNA from 1 species
AGUUGAAGUGGUAGGAAAUUUUUACAUAGGAGAGUAUGGUGAUCAUAUUUGCAUUUUAGAAAAUAAUGGAUAGCAGUUUGUUAGGGGAACAAAGGACAGAGACAGGGAGACUAUUUAAAACAUUAAUAAAAAAUGCCAGUGACAGAUGAUGAGGCAUCUACCUGAUGGGAACGGAGAAGAGGAGAUGGAUUCAGAAACUACUUAUGAGAGGCAGGCGGUCCAAGGCUGAUGCCCAAAGAAGCCAUCAAGACCCGUGCUACUUCCAGCUCCUUCUGUCCUCAUAAUCAUAGAUGAUUGCUCCACAUCCAGAGCCUCGCUCAGUUUCCUGGAGUGUAAUGGCAUGAUCUUGGCUCACGGCAACCUCUGCCUCCCGGCUUCAAGUGAUUCCCCUGCUUCAGCCUCCCAAGUAGCUGGGACUACAGGCAUGCACCACCAUGCCCAGCUAAUUUUUUUUUUUAAAUAUUUUAGUAAAGACAGGGUUUAACCAUGUUGGCCAGGAUGGUCUUGAUCUCCUGACCUCGUGAUCCGCCCACCUCGGCCUCCCAAAGUGCUGGGAUUACAGGCGUGAGCCACCUUGCCCGGCCUUCUAUUCCUUUUUCUAAUGCAUUUGCCCCAGCUAUCUGUAUAGCCUACAAUCUGGUAGACGGACCACAGGGAAACCACUGCGGCAAACUAAAAGUGUCUAUCUCAGAUCCUUCCACCCCAUCAUUUCCAAAAUCACCCUAUCUCCACCACCAUCACCUUUACCGCCAUCACCACUAUCAUCCUCAUCCUUCCCAUCACCAUCUCCACUGCUAUCUCUCAACACCAUCAUCAUCACCACCACCACCAUCAUCACCAUGAGCACCACCUCUGUCAUCAUCAAAAAAGCACACAGUUCAGGCUGGCCUGUUGGAGGAUAACAGAUCAUGUGGAGCAGAGAUGAGCUGGCCCACCUCAGGCCCUACCAGAGCAAUCAGCUUGCCAAACACAACAUAUAUCAGCGAGGCCAUCCUAGACCAUCCAGCCCUAGCUGAGCCAGCCCAGACCAGAGACUCAUGAGAAACAGUAAAAUGUUCAUCAUUUUAAGCCACUA